GACGAACGCUGGCGGCGUGCUUAACACAUGCAAGUCGAACGAAGUGGCGAACGGGUGAGUAACGCGUAAUCAACCUGCCCUUAAGAGGGGGACAACAGUUGGAAACGACUGCUAAUACCGCAUACUGAAGGAGGGGAUUGCGUCUGAUUAGCUAGUUGGAGGGGUAACGGCCCACCAAGGCGAUGAACAGUAGCCGGGCUUAUGGGAGGAACGGCCACAUGGGGACUGAGACAAUGCCCAGACUCCUACGGGAGGCAGCAGUGGGGAAUCUUCCGCAAUGGACGAAAGUCUGACGGAGCAACGCCGCGUGAGUGAUGACGGCCUUCGGGUUGUAAAGCUCUGUUAAUCGGGACGCGGGACCUGAAUAGAAAGCCACGGCUAACUACGUGCCAGCAGCCGCGGUAAUUC
rnacentral:rRNA from 1 species